GAUGGACGCUGGCGGCGUGCCUAAUACAUGCAAGUCGAACGGGGAGUAGCAAUACUCUUAGUGGCGAACGGGUGAGUAACGCGUUGGUACCUGCCCCGACGCGGGGGAUAACGGACCGAAAGGUCCGCUAAUACCCCAUGUGCUCGGUAACGAGUAAAGGUGCAAACCACUUUGGGAGGGGCCUGCGUCCCAUCAGCUAGUUGGUAAGGUAACGGCUUACCAAGGCGAUGACGGGUAGGGGACCUGAGAGGGUGGCCCCCCACAAUGGAACUGAAACACGGUCCAUACACCUACGGGUGGCAGCAGUAGGGAAUAUUGGUAAUGGGCGCAAGCCUGAACCAGCCACGCCGCGUGUGCGAUGACGGCCUUCGGGUUGUAAAGCACUUUUGACUGGGACGAGGAAGGACGGUACCGGUCGAAUCAGCCUCGGCUAACUACGUG
rnacentral:rRNA from 1 species